GAAGUGCCACCAUUGCUGUUGUCAUUCCUGGCUGAUAAUAUCCGGUGAGUCCUGAGAAACUGCGGGAGAGGAGUGUGAUUCCCCCGGGGGUCCAUGGUGAGUGACAGCUCGCACGGGGCUCUGGGUAACCAGGUGACAAACAAACUACAACCAGCACAGAAAGAGUUAACAUGAACCCACCCAGAGCUGGGCAAAGCUCCUAUACCGGAUAAUAAAUACACCCAGCACUUCAUACACAUCACACACAGCUCCAACCCUUUAUACAUAUCUCACAGCUAUGGAUUAUGGCAUGUUCUUCCUCAAUCCUUCAUACAUAUCACACAGCUAUGGAUUUUGUCGUGCUGUGCUAUUAUUUUUGCACAUUGCGUUGCUAGGAAGUAUUGUGUGCAUGUUUUUAAUCUUUCCUGCAUAUUGCACAGGUAUGAAAUAUUGUAAAACUGUGUUUUAAUGCUGCAAUGUUUAAUCCAUAUUGUACAGCUAUGGUUAAUGAUGAUCACUGCUGGUAUUGCUUGUGCAUAUUGCUCAGUCACAAAUUAUGGCAUUCCCUUCUCUAAUAUUAAACAAUUGAUUAUAUUGCAGAUUUGUUACAUAUAAAUUCUAUUUCAUGCUCUUCUAUAAUGUUAAGCCAGGAUUAUACUAUGCACAUACAUUAUAUAAUGAAUAAAAUAAACAAACCAUGACAUAUAAGCAGUGUUACGGGUUUCUUGAAGAAAGUCAGUCUCACAGGGCUGCUUACUAAAGUGUUAAUUUCAAACUGAAGGACAAACUAGUCAAACUGGAAAGAUUCUCAAAAUCCGCUAUGCUUUCAGUUUGAUUACUGUGGCCUUGUGUUUGAUAUUCACUUUGAAUUUUCACUUUAUUACGUAACUGUCAGUCUUGAUCAUAGCCAUACUGUGACUGCUGUCCAUAUACAAUUAGUCCAGUCUCUGUUUAGUGAUGAUGGCAGUGAGUCAUGGAUCAGUACUUGGCUUACUCUUCUUGGAGUAUAGUUUAAUCCAAGUUGUGUGUUGCCGCGUCCGCACCUUAACUUGGACGUACUUGAGAGCUAGAACUGAGAAUUGCAGAAGCAGCUGAGCUAUAGCUCCAGAAACCUAAACAUACAGCGUUCUAUUUGGAGCAAAUCGGUUUAUUUAAUAAAGUAAGAAAUACUGAGAAUUCAAAGUGAAUUUUUUUUUAAUUCUAAAAUGCCAACGAAUCCUGCCGCAGUCGGCAGUAAGUGAACUAACAAGUAGUUGCAAUAAGACAAGUUGGAUUACAGGAAUAUGAGGUGCUGAGAUCCCUGCUCAAACAAGCUUGCAUUCUAAGGCAAUUGAAAGUGUGCAUUUCAAAAUCAGCCACAUUAUUUAUUAUGAUUAUUAGAAAAAUUCUCAAAGUCCGUUCUGUUUUCAGUUUGGCUUAUUCGGCCUUAAAAGGGCACUUCAGCCAUGAUCUCUUUUCACAAAGCAAUUUCCUUUGAGGUAUUUUUAGUGCGUACUCAGGAGCUGAGCUGCUGGCAUCAGUCUGCUCCAUAGCCAAUCACUGCCCUCAUAUUGUUUGUACUCUUUCCCCUUGGCUUGGCUUUGAAAUACUAAGCGAAUAAUUACAGGGCACUGGCUGAGGGGUGGCGUGAUGUCAGCAGCUUCAUUUACAAUGAUCUCUCGUUGGCUGAGCGGAGUAUAUACCCGGAAUACUUCUAAUAAAGACCUUUCUUUGUGAGUAGAGGCAUUGUGGCCUAUUGUAACCAGGUUAUGCUGCAGAAAAAGGCAAAUCUUUUUAUUUAAAGGGUUACUCCAAGUAACACAACCACUUCAGUUAUUUGAAGUGGUUACGGUGCAUGUAGUUUGUAUGCGUCUGAAAUACUGCACAUACAGAAUUUAACCCCUCUGCUGCUGCUGGUGUUACUUAAAGGGACACCUAGUCACAGAACAACUACAGCUUAAUGCAGCUUUCAGAGAAAAGGCAGUGUUUACAUUGCCCCUAGGAACACCUCCAAGUGGACACUCCUCAGAUAGCCACUGGAGGUGCUUCCUGACUCAGUGCUGCACAAUAGGCAGCUCUGCUGUUCAGCGUCCCUACGAGAUGCUGAAUUUUCCUCAUAGAGAUGCAUUGAUUUAAUGCAUCUCUAUGAGGAGGUCCUGAUGGGCCAAAACCGCAUUUGGCCCUGCCCCUUGCCGAUUUUUAGCCAAUGAGAAAGCAUUGGAUUGGCUAAAAAUUGUCCCUUUUGAUGUCACAAAGGGGGCGGGGCACGUGCUGGCGGAGGGCUAAGAGGGGGGCAAGCCACCUAUAUGGUGGGUUUAGCACUAUAGGGUCAGUAAUACAUGUUUGUGUUCCUGACCCUAUUGUGAUCCUUUAACUUCUGGCAGCAUCAUAGGGGCCUCAUUAGCCAACUCAAGCAUGGGCUGGCUAACAUCAAUUCUAUGCAAACUUGGAGUCUGAUACCAGCACACACGACAUCCUGGCAAACGUCCCUGAGUCCUCCCUCCUGCUCACAUUACAGCCCCUAUCCCCCCAGACACCGUGCAAUCCCUUUCCCUCCCACAUCACAGCCCUUAUCCCUGCCUCAAUACAGUCCCUAUCCCCCAACAUUACAGCCGGUAUUCUCUCACACAGUGCCGACCCUAUAAUCCCCACAUAAGGUAUAGCAGUAUCCUCCUACACACUAAAGUCCCUUAACACACAAACACACACUACAGUCCCUAUUCCCUCUGUACACACAGUCUAAUCCCUAUUCACAACUACACUACAACCACAUUCCACACACCACCCGCAUACACUACUGCCCUAUCCAGAUACACACUGGACUGCAAAUUGCCCCAUCCACACACAAGCCCACAUGAACGGUAGCCUACCCCACAGACACCACAUGCAGUCUCUCACACAAUUAUGGGGAUACCGUAGACAAGUUAGCAGCAAACACAGAAGUGUAUCAUUAGACUAGCUUGCACUGCAUUAAACACAGGGCAUUUUUGCCCAUGUGAGAGCUCUUCAGAAGAGCUCUGCAAACACGCUUCCCUGACGGGGCAUUGACCUGACUUGCCCACUUUAAGGUGAGUGCCUACCAAUGAUGGCACAAGGUGCCCCAUCCUGUUGGGAUGCUCUAAUUUAAAAUCCUUGGGCCUAAUUUUUGUGCUAGUCCUGCCCUGAUUGUAGAAUUAAAGACUGGCAUGGCACCGAGACCACCUUAUUGAGAUUGUUUUCUGGGUGCCUGUAGAGUUCCUAAUGUUAAGCUAGUUUCAUACCCCCUCCAAAAAUAUGCAAUAAAUAUUAAAUGCUUAGAUUUUUUAUUUAUUUAUAAAAAAAAUUAAUAAGGCGAUCUAUAGAAAGCUAUGAGAGAAAUACAUAUACCAUGAAUCCAUCCCAGAAGGUUUUAUGAGAACCUAUAGUUGUAUUUUUAUUUUCUUACUUUCUAACUCACAACUUUAUCUUGGAAUUGUGUAUUUUUGACUUUUUUUUUUUUUGCCCACUUUUUUAGCCUGCGGUUCUAAUCGGCAACCCUCAAAAUUCUAACACAUGGAAUUAAGCCCAGCACUCAAACUCCCACUACUCUUGGGCACUGAAUAUAGUAUUUAUCAGCCCAAAUACAUGAUCGAACAAAACAAAAAAAGUUACCUGCACACUAUCCCCCCUCCAAUUUAGUUGAACCCUCAUUAUUUCAUUUACGAGCUGCAUUUGGGAAGAUAAUUUGGAGAAGGAUGUUCAGAGCCUCCUAAGAUGUGUAGAGGCUUAUCAUGGGUAUAUGUACUGGGAACGUUCAUCACUGUAGCGGAGGUCUCAUGUGUUAGAAUAAAGUUAUUUUAUCUCUUUUAUUUAUAAGAUACACAAAAUCCCCGGCUGAAUGUUUCUUGCUUAAUUUAUUAACAUGUUGGCACAAAAAAGACCUGGCUUAGUCAGAUCUCCUGUGUAUGGUGAUAGCUGUGCAAGAGUUUGAAUAGUCUGUGGUACGUGUCUUUAGGGAAUACUUGAGUGAUCAGAAACUUUGCUGUGUUUCCUGUUUUCUAAAGCCAAAUGAGAUUCACUGUUUUUGUUUUUUUUUGUUUUUUGUUGAGAUUUUCUUCUAUUGCGGUUUGCCUUUUGCCUUCAAGGGAAAUGGUGAUUUCUGGAAAUCACACCAUUGAGUAAAACAUUGAAAGUCACUUAUGACCUGUGUUAAGAAUGGAUAGAAACUGAUUAAUUUCUACUUCUCUGUAAGCUCUCCAUGCUGACUGCCUGGUGCCAACGACAGAGUUUAUAAUGACAGGGAGCUAAGAUGGCGACACCCAUCUACAGUAUAAACACCUGUGCAUUUCUACAUUAAAUUGCAUGUGUUAAAUAUUGGGAUUGAUAAACCUAAUAUUAAACAUCCUUGGCAGAGACAGUCCCCCUUUAAAGCAAGAUAUGUUCUAAACAUUUACCAGUAACUAUUGAUCAGGUUUCAUUUAAUACAGGUUAGCUGUGAUAUCAAACGUAACUCCAACCACCAUAACCACUCUUGCUUUUAGAAGUGGUCAUGGUGCAAGCAUUCCUUAUGUGCAGCUUGUCCGCUUGAGAUGCUGCCUGUUUAGAGAUAUUGGUGAUUUUGUGUUGAGUGUAGUUACACCUCCAGCACAUGUGACACUGUCAGCUCGGAGCUCUGUUCCGGAUUGACUAAUGUGAAUUCUGUGUACAAAAAAAGUCUGUCGGCACACACUGCAUUCCAGGGAGGGACGUAAUGAGCUUCGUCACUUACAGGCAGUGCUGUGAGGAGUAGGACUGUGUGCGCACGGUUCAUGCGCAUCCAAUCCAACUAAAUGGAAGUUUGUGCUCCCCCCCUUGUCCACAACCCAGAGUUCUUCUCUCCUGGGCUCAGAUGGAGUACAAUGUACACAUAUACAAUGAACCUUUAACCUGUGAGAUCUGAUAAGAUCUCUCAAUUUACACUAUAUGACCCCAGAGAAGACCCCCAGAUGUCAAAGUGCUGAAGUAGAGCAGAAGAGGAGGCCACUUGAAGAGGAAUCGCCUCAUCACUUUUGUAAGUAUAAUCUAUCUUUUACUGAUUUUAUUUACAUUUUUCAACAAUUGAUUUUUAUACAUUUGUUUUGAGACAUUUGCAAAUUUUGGUUUUAUCACUAAACAGUGAUUUGUCUUGCAAUUUAUUUACCUUAUUUUCUAUAUCAUUUUUUGCAAAUGUCAAGUAACUAGUGAUCAUAGCACUUUUUUAUAAUUAUUUUUACAUUAUCACCAUCAGAGUGACAAUUCCACAUAAAUCACACCAGUGAUUUUUUGCAUGUAAUGAUUAGCACAGUAUUAAAACAUUAAAAAUAAAUUGUAUGUCUUUUGCUGCACUUUACUUUCUGUGAUGCCUCAGACAUAGACUUUCCUGAUGAACGCACUGCAUUAAUGUAAUCCCAACAUACAUAUGGCAAUGCUGGUGUUGCCUUUAUUACAGGUGUAGCCUGUUUUCAGCCUGUCAUGUAAAAUAAAUGUGCGCUACAAGCACCUUACUGGGAAAGCUCUGAACACUCUAAUCACUACUGCGUGCUAUAGUGGUUAUGGUGUCUGUCUUUUUCAGAUUCCCCCCUAUCUUAAUACGUCACAAAGCUUUUAGAACCGUGACUUCUUACAUGAGGUAUGCUGGACACCACUCCCUGCAUUCACUACUGCUCACUGAGAUCCUGAAUCUCUACUCUGGAGCGUUUAUUACUCUCCUGAGCUAAACCUGCAGAGCGUGGCUCACGCAUUGGCAAUUAGUAUCAGCUGAUCUCCCUCAGCCAUUGAACUAAGCCCAGCACCCCCCAGGAGCGUCACCUGUUGCCUUUACUCAUGUGUUUUGUUUUUUUUAAAUUGCUUAUAUUUGUAUAUUUUAUCUGAUAAUGCUGAUUGGUUAAAAUAACUUGCAUAUUUUUCAUUUUUUUUAGGCUUUUGGUGCCGAACAGAAAAACCGCAAACCCGCUGUAAUCGGUAGGUUGCCUUUUUUAAAUACUCAUGUAUGGUCAUGUUAAUCUUUUCUGAUUCUCUCCGAUCAUUGAAAUACUUACUGUUUAAUCUUUUUUUCAUGUAUGUGUAUGCUUGCACGCAUAAGUAAUAUUUUUUUUUCUAAUAUGUAUAUAUCCAUGUUUGUUUUUUAAAUAAAUAUUGAUUGUAAACAUUUUUUUUAAAAAAAUAUUAUUGUAGCUGCUGCCCGUUCUUGAAAAUCCAGAGAGUAGAGAGAAUCAGAAUUCCUCAAAUAACCUGUAUUAAGUCCACACAUUUUCCAAAACUGAAAUCUAAGCAUCAUGACCACUUCUGUUUUCACGAGUGGUCAUGAUGCAGGAAGUGUUUAUGUCCAGUGUUUUGUCCUGCUCAUAAAGAUAGCAGUGGAGCUCUGUGAUGCUGUAAUGCAUAGUAUCAGAAUGUGCAUUUCGAUUUCGUGGCUGAGGAGCUCUGUGAUUCAAUCACACAUUGGGUAUUACUGAUCGGAGAAGAGGUGUGCUUCUACUGCACAGACAGAGGGAAUGCAAAGGGACCCAAGGCAGACCUGCAUCCCCUUUAGGGGGUAGCAGGCACCAUGAUUUUACUUUUUUGAUGGGCAGCAGCUGACAGGAAUUUGAGGAUUAUUUAUUUAUUUGACAAUCUUUAUUUUUAUUUUAUCAUUUUGUCACAGAAUAGUGUGAAUGUGAUAAUACAUCAAUUGUAACUUCGUAUUUCUGAAAAUCUUAACAAUAUGCGUAACCUUUUUACAAACAUUCUCCAGUCAGGCUUCUCCAACAGUAGUUCAAUAGUUUCCAUAAUAUUCAUUAGAUUGUGUAACAUAUGAUCAGGUUUCAUGGUUCAUGACUCCUCUUGCCUACAUUGCGCACUUUGCAGCACUUAUGGCGUGCGUUCUAUGAUUAGGGUGUGAUCUGGUGUCUGGUCUAGUAGCUCUAGGGGAUAUUGACCCUGUUUCAGUGGGUUGCUGUGAUUAUAGCUCCUCUAGUGGUCAUCUCCCCAUUAGCGUCUGGGUUCCUGGACUUAAAGUUAAAAGUUGUUGCGUUCGGGUUGUUGUUUCAGUUGUCCCCGGCCUACCCCUCACCUCCGGUGCAUCCCGUCUAAGUCAUUGGUCAGCUGGGGAGCAGCAAGACCCAUUGUGCCUCCUGUUUCCCUAUCUGUUCUCAGGGUGUGUGCCGUCGUUGGUGCUCUCGUGUGCCGGGUCAUCUUCCCUUAGCUAGCUCAGUGCCCGACUCUGGCCUAUCCUUGUUCCCAGUGUCAGUGCGUCCGCGCAGGUGCAGCUGCCAGGAAAAAAGAUCUGUUUUCUGUGGAGAGAGGCUACAGGCAUGGGGGAUGGUGUACUGGUUGUGUACCAGUGAUAGGGCAGGUGGAGGGGGUGGCCAGGCAGGUAGGGGUUGAGUAUGGGGGGGAGGAUGUGUCCCCCCUCCUCCCCCACAGGUACUCCCCUGGGCGGAGGAGCGUGCCUUCUCACACCCUUUGCGGCUGAAUGCGUCUUUCCUCCACAAUCGCCCAUGCCUCCCCCCCUCGGGGCCAAGGCAAAUGUCACCUGGCGUGCGUACCUCCUACUUUGCUAGAGGAAUAUAAGCACAUAUUGACUAAUGCACAUGCAACGAAGUUUGGUUCCCAAAUUGCACCAAUGACGAAGUAGGGGAGUUUGGACUGGCCAUAGUAGUGGUGACAGCAUUCCUGCAGAGGCAAGUAUUUAAUUAACAUCUCCUCGAGAAAAUGUAUCACUCUGACAAAUUGUAUAUUACAAAAUUAAAAGAAAUAGUCUGAGUUAUAUACCUUUUACUUCUCCAAGAAGGUCCAAUAUUAAAGGAACACUAUAGAGUCAGGAAAACAAACAUGUAUUCCUGACCCUAUAGUGCAAACCCCCCCCUUAAACGUUUAUAAAACAAACGUUGUUUUGUCCAAUCAGCACCUCCUCAUAGAGAUGCAUUGAAUUAAUGCAUCUCUACGAGAAAAAUUCGGUGUCCCCAUGAAGAGUGUGGGGAUGCUGAACAGCAGAGCUGCCUACUGUGCAGCACUGAGCCAGGAAGCACCUCCAGUGGCCAUUUGGCACUGUCCCUAGGGGCAAUGUAAAGACAGCAUUUUCUCUGAAAAGGCAGUGUUUGCAUGAAAAUGCCUGCAUAUAAUGAUUAUACUCACCAGAACUACAUUAAGCCGUAGUUGUUCUGGUGACUAUAUUGUCCCUUUAAAUGUGAUACAUUUAUUACAGAUGAUACUGUUGGUGAAACAAUAAUUGUUGUUUGAAAGAUUUUUUUUUUUUUUGUUUAACCAUCAUUUAGAAUGGUGGUCAGCUGUGCUGGAAUAGUUUUCUGAGCGAGUAGGACAUGGCUAGAUACUACCUUUAUCAUAUAUGCACAUAAUGAGUUCAGGAAACGAAGUAAUUGAAUGGAGGAUCCAUCAUCACCUUGACAAACAGAUGAUGUAAAGAAUGUUGAUGAACUCUGUCCCAGAAGAAAGCUCAAAAUAAACAUAAAAAGAUGUAAAAAAACUAAACAAAAAAAACCACAGAACAGCAGUAAGUGUAAGAGUAUGAUAAUGGUAAGUCUAAUAUAUGUUUAAAAAAUCGAAUUUUAUUUUAAAUACAUGCUAUGAUUAUUAGUAUUAAUGUAGUACCAAUAUAUUCUGCAGUGCAUUACAGCAAUAUAACUGCAACAGCACAAUGUUGACUUAAAUGGGUGCAAAGGGCUCUGCUCAAACAGGCUUAUAAGCUACAAUGAGAUUGUAGAAUGCAGCACCCAUUAAAGAGAACGGCUCUCUUGAAAUUGAUGACUAUGCACACUUUUAAAGAAAUGUUUUCUGUAAUUGACAGGAAUAAUUUGAAUUCAUGUGUGCAUAAUGUUGAGUUAAUAACAAAAAUUGAAAUGCUCUCUGAUGGAGGAUGGUGAGGCCACUUUUGACAGGAGUGGCAAAAUAGCCAAAGUAAGCACCAUACCCACUGCAGCUCAUUGUACAUUCAUGGUGCUAUGUGCUUAGGUGCACCGUUUUUGAGUAUGUCAGCCUAUCAUUGGGACUGUUCUCUUUUAAUUCAGGGUCCCUGCCAGUGAACUGUUGAGACAGAAUUGCACUGUCCAUCACACCACAACCACUCUCCUGAGAUAGUGACAGCUGCUAGCAGUAAUCUUAGACAGGUUAAAACACGUGUGAUUUAGCAUUGCACUAUAAUAAAGGGCCCACAUAAUGCGUAGUGUCCGUCACACUGUGCAUUAUGGUUUUUAAUGCACUCUGUGAGAUGGUCAACUGUGCAGUACACCAUUUAAAAACCAUUAAAAUCUGUAUAUUGUGUAUAUCUAUACUUAUCUUUAUUUUUAGUUGUUUUUAGAUCGUUGGUGGGGUACAGAAUAUAAAAAGGGGGGGGGGGGUGUUAUAGCUAAUGCAAUAUCAAUAGUACAUAGUAGAACUCCAAGUAUAUUUCUUUACUCAAUAACAAUUGUUCGUAUUUGCAAUAACUAAGCUCGCUGUGGGCUGUAUUUUAUUUAGGGUGUGUUUAUUAGGGUGUGUUGCUAUACUUAUCUUUUUAACGUGAUUAUGUCUCUCCUCUUGGAACAGUCACAUUCUCAGAAAAGGUCAAAGAAGCAUUUUUUUUAUUUAUAUAUAUAUAUUUUUUUUUUACCUAUGUGUACUGGUGAACCGUUUAUUUUUAUUUUUUGUUUUGAAGACGUGAUUUUUAAAAAACCACAGUUGAAAAGCGCAAGUCCCCACCGAAAGUGGAAGGCUACUGGGAAACUACUUCAACAGCCAUGCCACGGUCUGUGGAAAGAGCAGUGGAAGAAUGGACAAGUGGUUUUAUUUUAUUUAAUCUAUUUUUGUGUGUAUGUAAACCUGAAAAGUAUUAAAUAAAUUAUUACUGAAGCAGUUUCCUUGUCCAAG